rnacentral:rRNA from 1 species
CAAGACGGAAAGACCCCGUGAACCUUUACUAUAGCUUGACACUGAACAUUGAGCCUUGAUGUGUAGGAUAGGUGGGAGGCUUUGAAGCGUGGACGCCAGUCUGCGUGGAGCCGACCUUGAAAUACCACCCUUUAAUGUUUGAUGUUCUAACGUGGACCCGUGAUCCGGGUUGCGGACAGUGUCUGGUGGGUAGUUUGACUGGGGCGGUCUCCUCCUAAAGAGUAACGGAGGAGCACGAAGGUUGGCUAAUCCUGGUCGGACAUCAGGAGGUUAGUGCAAUGGCAUAAGCCAGCUUGACUGCGAGCGUGACGGCGCGAGCAGGUGCGAAAGCAGGUCAUAGUGAUCCGGUGGUUCUGAAUGGAAGGGCCAUCGCUCAACGGAUAAAAGGUACUCCGGGGAUAACAGGCUGAUACCGCCCAAGAGUUCAUAUCGACGGCGGUGUUUGGCACCUCGAUGUCGGCUCAUCACAUCCUGGGGCUGAAGUAGGUCCCAAGGGUAUGGCUGUUCGCCAUUUAAAGUGGUACGCGAGCUGGGUUUAGAACGUCGUGAGACAGUUCGGUCCCUAUCUGCCGUGGGCGCUGGAGAACUGAGGGGGGCUGCUCCUAGUACGAGAGGACCGGAGUGGACGCAUCACUGGUGUUCGGGUUGUCAUGCCAAUGGCACUGCCCGGUAGCUAAAUGCGGAAGAGAUAAGUGCUGAAAGCAUCUAAGCACGAAACUUGCCCCGAGAUGA